rnacentral:rRNA from 1 species
AGAGUUUGAUUAUGGCUCAGGGUGAACGCUGGCGGCGUGCCUAACACAUGCAAGUCGAGCGGUGCAGCUGGAGGCUUCGGCCGAAGGCUGCAUAGCGGCGGACGGGUGCGUAACGCGUAGGAACGUGCCCCCUGGAGGCGGAUAGCCGCGGGAAACUGCGGGUAAACCGCCAUAGACUCGGGAGAGUAAAGCCGAAAGGCGCCAGGGGAGCGGCCUGCGUCCCAUCAGGCAGUUGAUAGGGUAAUGGCCUACCAAGCCGACGACGGGUAGCCGGUCUGAGAGGAUGGCCGGCCACAAGGGCACUGAGACACGGGCCCUACUCCUACGGGAGGCAGCAGUGGGGGAUAUUGGACAAUGGGCGGAAGCCUGAUCCAGCGACGCCGUGUGGAGGACGAAGCCCUUCGGGGUGUAAACUCCUUUUGUCGGGGAAAAAGGACUGAUGGUACCCGACGAAUAAGCCCCGGCUAACUACGUGCCAGCAGCCGCGGUAAUACGUAGGGGGCGAGCGUUACCCGGAAUCACUGGGCGUAAAGGGUGCGUAGGCGGCCGCGUGUGUCUGGCGUAAAAUACCACGGCUCAACCGUGGGAAUGCGCUGGAAACUACGUGGCUUGGGUGCGGCAGAGGCAGACGGAACUGCUGGUGUAGGGGUGAAAUCCGUAGAUAUCAGCAGGAACGCCGGUGGAGAAGUCGGUCUGCUGGGCCGUAACCGACGCUGAGGCACGAAAGCUAGGGGAGCGAACCGGAUUAGAUACCCGGGUAGUCCUAGCCGUAAACGAUGCUCACUAGGUGUGGGGGCGGAAGCCUCCGUGCUGAAGCUAACGCGAUAAGUGAGCCGCCUGGGGAGUACGCCCGCAAGGGUGAAACUCAAAGGAAUUGACGGGGGCCCGCACAAGCGGUGGAGCGUGUGGUUUAAUUGGAAGCUAAGCCAAGAACCUUACCAGGGCUUGACAUGCUGGUGGACCGAGCCGAAAGGUGAGGGCCCCUUAUGGGGAGCCAGCACAGGUGGUGCACGGUCGUCGUCAGCUCGUGCCGUGAGGUGUUGGGUUAAGACUCUAAGGGGACUGCCGGCGACGAGCCGGAGGAAGGAGGGGAUGACGUCAGAUACUCGUGCCCCUUAUGUCCUGGGCGACACACGCGCUACAAUGGGGUGGACAGCGGGAAGCGAGGCAGCGAUGCUGAGCAAAUCCCUGAAACCACCCCCCAGUUCAGAUUGUGGGCUGAAACCCGCCCACAUGAAGCCGGAAUCGCUAGUAAUCGCGGAUCAGCCAUGCCGCGGUGAAUACGUUCCCGGGCCUUGUACUCACCCCCGUC